ACACUUCAAUUUUGUUAAAACUAAAACAAUACGCUGCCUGAUUGUUAAACGAUGUGAUCUUUGAUCACUGUAAAUAGAUUGUACUGCUUCUACUAUUGUAUCUAAUAGUUUCAUAUUAUUGAGACCAGUAAAACUGUUUAGAGCACUAUCUGUUGUUAUCAGGUCACACAAAGAAGAUACUUUAGGAGUAUUCACUUGCACUUCGAAAUCCUUGAAAGUUUUAGGCCCAUUACAAUCAGGCUGAUCCUGAAGAAGCUGUAAGCUACUACUUGAACAUUCAGGUUCUUCCUUUGUGGUAGUAGAUCCAACACGAAGAUUUCUGGAAGGCACUGCAGUCUUUUUCAAACAUUUUUUCUGUGUAGAACUGGAAUCUGUGAACUAUUAUUAUUAUUAUUAUCCCCAUAAAUAUAAUCUAAAAUUUUAUGUGCUAUCAGUGAUUACCUCGAUAAAAAUUAUCAUCAUCGAUAAAAUGCAGGGAACAUACUUUCAUAUUUCUUGUCACUGGUUUAUCGAUUUUGAAUUUCAGUUGCCAAACUUUUGUCGAUCCAUCAGCACUUUACUCCCCGAUUUCCCUUCCACCCAAACACAAUAUUUAUUACAAGUUUGAGGGAAAGCAUGGAACUUGAUAUUUGAACUUUUUUUUCCCAGGAAGAACUCUGAGGAACUGAACAAUAGUGAUUCGAACGACUCAGAACUAUUGAAAUGAUUAAAAAAAAAUAUAAAUAUUCGUAGAAUAUCACACAAAAAUAAAGCAGAAUGCAAGAACCUGACUACCUCUGAGGCAAGAACCAUGUCAACAUUUCUAGUUACUCUGAUUGUUACCAGGUGGCGUAGCGCUUAUGUUGAUUCGCCUAUACUGUUGUUUCAUACAUAGACGAUAGACCAUAGAACUCAUAUGAUUUUAUAUUUGAAUUAGGUUUAUGGUUUCAUAAAACUUUCCUCUUAUAAGCAAAAACAAAACAUAUUCGAAUUUGAUAAGCCAAUUUCCCUUUCUUGUGAAUUACAUCUUUAGAAAAUUCAGUAAUUUCGAUUGCUAAAUUGUGAAGAUUGUCAUGAAUAAAAAGGGCGGUGAUACGAUUUGUCACGUUUGCCUAAAGGAAUAUUCCAGCAAGAAGGCAAAAAAUCGUCUUAUAAAACUUUUGUCUUGAAGAGCCAUUAAUUGAAGUAAAAGCUAAGCAUAUUAAGUUCCCCCUCUGUCCUGAAGAAGAAAAAAAGCAUUUGUAAUCUACAACGAAUUAAUAAAUCAUUUACAGGAAAUUCAUGCUAUUAAUAUUGAAGAAUUUUAUCUCUAUUAGAAAUAUGGAAAAAUUUGAAUCUUGGAGAGCACUUGACAAUGGGAAUUUUGACUAUAUUACUACUGGUUGGAAGGGAAAACAUGUUCAUUAUAAUUGCAAUCACAGUAAUACUGAAGGUCCAGUAUCAGUUGAUUUAGAUAAACCAUCUACUUCUACUAGUUAUGGAAAUGAAGAAAAAAAAUCAGGAACAUACUUUCCUGUAGAUGAAGAUAAAAGACGUGAAAAAGUGCAUGGAAAAGCUUGUUUGCAGCUGAAAUCAAUUGAUGAUGAAAACUUUACAAGAUCACUAGAAUGAUUUCGAAUAUCAGCAAUCAAUAGGAAAUAAAAAAUACUAAGAAUAAUAAGAAAAGGCAAUUAGAGAGCCAGUCAUAUUUUCCAAGGAAAACAUAAACUAGAUUGAAGUGGAAAAAGAUUCAGAUACCGUCCAUGAAAAAGGUGGAGGAGACGGUGGUGUAAAAUUUCUAAAUUAUUUAAAUUAUUUCCAAGUUAAAAUGAAAUACUUUGUAUUUAGAGGAUCCAACACGAUAUGGUUACCUUAACUUGUAUCAAGUACUGGAUGUGUAUCAUCUGGUUUCCCAGUUAUCACUUCGAAAUACCACGCUGUAGCAGAAUGAGAACUUGAUCCAGAGUACAGAAUGGCGAUACGAAGGGGUAAGUUAGUCUGGGUACUUUAGCAUAUCUGGUCAAUAAGCACGUAGCAUAGUUUUGAUUCCCAGAUGAAACAGUGUCAGUUUGCAAAUUUCAUAUUUUGGUUCUCGGCUGAGACAGCGGAAAAAUCUAGCUUAAGCCAAAUUGAAGGCGACACUCGGAGUCGGAGAUGGAAAAGUAAGAAGGAAAAAAAUUUUAACAAAUGAUUAUUCUGGGAAAUUUCAUGGCGGACUUGGGAUAAGUACGAGGUUAGGGUCUUGAGGAAAAUUUAGGAAGAAAAUCAGUAUCUCUUAGUAACUCAUACUGAGAAGAGUUUAAAACUUAUACGUCGGUCUUAUACCGGACUUACAGCAAAACAAUCUCUUUUGAGUAUUAGAGUAGCUUUUCGAAGAUCAAGUCGAUUAGAAGGGAAGUUUAAGUAGAUCAGAGAAUUUAACAAACUUCAAGUAUUCGAGAAUAAGAAAGAAAGAAUUGUUUGGGUCUAAGAAAGGACAAGUUAGGUCAGAAGUAGGUAAAAAGAGGUUUUUGAUAAAGUUUUAGAUUUAUUUAUUAUAGAAAUAGAUUAUCUCGGAGUGCGCGAGUCGGGAGUGAAGUUAUGAAAAGAAAUUACAUAUUUCGGGUGAUACAAAAAGAGCAGGAUUUAACCCUUUCCGACAUGUCGUACACUACAGUGUACACACAUUUCCAUUGAUUCUCAUUUCCUCCUAUAGCUCGUGUUUAUUGUGUAUACUGCAGUGCUAUGAUGUAUAGGGGUGAAGGGGGCAGGUUCGGACACUGUUUUACAAAUAAUUAUAUCUCUAUCGAU